rfam:Canis lupus familiaris chromosome X, whole genome shotgun sequence.
AGGAGCAACAGCCCCAGUGGCGGCGGCCAGCUCUGGAGCCCUGGAUUCAGCCCCCGCAGUAACUCCAGAGCUCUCCGUCUGCAGGAGCCUGGAGGCUCCGGGGCGGG